GGCAAGGUGGCCGAGUGGUUAAGGCGCGGCACUCGAAAUGCCGUUCAUUCGUGAGCGUAGGUUCAAAUCCUGCCCUUGUCG
rnacentral:tRNA from 1 species